AUGGCAGUAUCUCUCACCACUUGUUUUGGUCCAAAUGGCAGAAAUGAGCAUCCUGGAAACCAAUCAGUACUUGCUCUCUGAACUGGAAAAGUGCAAAGAGAACUUCCAAGACCUCACAGAGAAAUUCCUAACAUCCAAAGCUACUGCCUACUCCCUGGCCAAUCACCUGCAGAAAUACAAGUGUGAAGAGUGCAAAGACCUUAUAGAAUCUGUGCUGGAGGAGGAGCUGCAGUUUCAGGAGAGAGAGCUGGCUGAAUUGCUGAGGCCAGCUGCAAGGCUCCAGAUACAUGAUCCCUUAAUUCAGGCUCAGGGUGAAGAACUGACCCACUUACGACAGAAGAUACAGGAAGGGAGAGGUGUCUGCUACCUUUUCACCCAGCAUGUGAAGAACACAGUCAAGUCUUUUGAGGGCCUUCUCAGGAACACUGGCAUUGCCUACUACCAGAGACAGAGAUUCUGUGAGCAAAUGGUACAAGGAAGCCAGCUAACAGAGAUCCUUGUCAGAAAACUUGCCACAGAAUCAACCCCAAUGCUCACUAACAAACUGAGAAGAAAGAAAAAAGAAUUACCCCCAAGAACAUCUGAGGAAGCACAACAGGGACAGACUUGAAGGCACCUGGGCAGUCCUCUGGUUUUGGAGUAGAGGUAGGACAGGGCUAUUUGUCCUCUCAGAGACUGGAGCAGGUUCUGUGUGUGAGUAGCAAUGGGACAAACAGUCAUGGUCUGGCAACCAGACUGUGGCAGGAAGGAAGGUUACAACUGGAGAAGUCCAAAGGGCAGCCAGGCAAGUAUUCUUUGAGCUGGGGAACAAAAGACAUUUUAAACUUUUUGCUCUGCUUCAGGCAGCUGACGUCAUGGUGAUGAUUCACCACAUCAGGAACACCCUGUCCAGUGGGCUCAGGCAAGCCUGCCAGGCCACUUCUCUAAAGACACAACCUGAGGCCUCCUGCAAUAAUUCUCACAGAGCAUUCUGAACACACAUGUAAAGUGUUAUGUCCCUGAUCAUAUAGGGCCCAUGUGUGCAAUGUGUGAAAUGGGACCUGCCUAAUUUCUGACUAGCUCUUUCUAAUUUUGGUUUGCAGAAAAUCACAAUGGUAAGAAAAAUGAAGACAGGCAAAAGCCAGGCUCAGGAGGGAAGUCCAGGAGGAAGAAAUGGAUGAAGUCCUGGAGGACUCAUUAGAUGAACAGUAUUUGACCCAUUCCAGCCGCCAUGACUCCCACCAGCUUCCCAGCAGCAAUGCCUUCCUCUCUGAUGCACAGGAAGACCCCUCGGCUGUGGAUAUAGGCAAAGAUGAGAUCCAGAGCCAGUGGCAGCACCUGAAGGAGACCCUUUUCAUCAACAACUGCCUGAUGCACCUCUAACCUCUACAGGCAAAUCAUAGAUUCCAUUGCCCAGCUGUAUAAUGAAAACAGAGUUCUCAGAGAAGAAUACUGGAGACUCCUCCGACUUGCCUGAAUCAAAUUUCCAGAGGUAACAACUAAUGUUGGAACUACGGAAAGUUCUUCUCUACUUUUAACAAAGCUUAGUCACAAACAGUUCCCCAGUUGAUGAGAAAAACUAAAACAACAGAACAAUUGAAAGUCCAAAUCUGAAAGCUCCAUCUCUGAGAAGCAAAUUUUAUAGCCACUCCAGAUUUGUAUUCCAAAUGGAUAGUUUGAUUGUAGAAAUCACAUCCCUUCAGUCUGAAAAUGUGAUAACUGCCCAAGAGACAGUGAUGCCUAGAUCCGUAAAUAAUCCCCUUUCCCCCAACCUAUAUAUAACUGGAGUCAACAGCAGCUAGAGGAAAAUGGCAAGGACUUGGAAUCAAGAUUAAGUUAGAAUAACACUGCUGUAGACUGUUUAUCAGCUCUUCAGCAUAUGUCCAUUUUCCUUGAAGGAUGAGCCUUUAGAAACCUCUGACAAUAAAGUUUAUUUUACACACA